rnacentral:miRNA from 1 species
GAAGAUGGACGUACUUU